rfam:Ruminococcus obeum CAG:39 genomic scaffold, scf165
UUUAAAAAAAGGCAUAGCCGGGGAAAUCCGGUGGCGCAAAACUAUAGGGUCUAAGCAAAUGUAUGACAGCCAGUUGCAGGA